rnacentral:rRNA from 1 species
GAUGAACGCUAGCUGGAGGCUUAAUACAUGCAAGUCGAGCGGGAUUGGGUAGCAAUACCCAUGAGAGCGGCGCACGGGUGAGUAACGCGUACACGACCUACCUCUGACAGGGGGAUAGCCCUGGGAAACUGGGAUUAAUACCGCAUAUUAUUCUGAAUAAUAAAGGUUUGGAAUGAAAGCUGAGGCGGUCAGAGAUGGGUGUGCGUCUGAUUAGCUAGUUGGUAGGUAACGGCCUACCAAGGCGAUGAUCAGUAGGGGGCGUGAGAGCGUGGUCCCCCACACGGGUACUGAGACACGGACCCGACUCCUACGGGAGGCAGCAGUAAGGAAUAUUGGUCAAUGGGCGAAAGCCUGAACCAGCCAUCCAGCGUGCAGGAAGAAGGCCCUAUGGGUUGUAAACUGCUUUUAUCAGGGAAGAAACCUCUGGAUUUACUCCGGAGCUGACGGUACCUGAAGAAUAAGCACCGGCUAACUCCGUGCCAGCAGCCGCGGUAAUGUG